rnacentral:rRNA from 1 species
CCUACGGGUGGCAGCAGUGGGGAAUAUUGCGCAAUGGGCGAAAGCCUGAAGCAGCGAAGCCGCGUGAGGGAUGAAGGUCCUCGGAUCGUUAACCUCCGUCAGCAGGGAAGAACGGUCACUGUGCUAAUCAGCAGUGAAUUGACGGUACCUGCAACGGCAGCACCGGCUAACUCCGUGCCCGCAGCCGCGGUAAUACGGCGGGUGCGAGCGUUAAUCGGAAUUACUGGGCGUACAGCGCUCGUAGGCGGGAUGUCAAGUCAAGGGUGAAAUCCCCGCGCUCAACGUGGGAACUGCCGUUGAAACUGGCAAACUGGAGUGUGGGAGAGGAUAGUGGAAUUCCAGGUGUAGGAGUGAAAUGCGUAGAUA